GAUGAACGCUGGCGGCGUGCUUAACACAUGCAAGUCGAACGAUGAAGCCCAGCUUGCUGGGUGGAUUAGUGGCGAACGGGUGAGUAACACGUGAGUAACCUGCCCUUGACUCUGGGAUAAGCGCUGGAAACGGCGUCUAAUACUGGAUACGAGCUUCCACCGCAUGGUGAGUUGCUGGAAAGAAUUUCGGUCAAGGAUGGACUCGCGGCCUAUCAGGUAGUUGGUGAGGUAACGGCUCACCAAGCCGACGACGGGUAGCCGGCCUGAGAGGGUGACCGGCCACACUGGGACUGAGACACGGCCCAGACUCCUACGGGAGGCAGCAGUGGGGAAUAUUGCACAAUGGGCGCAAGCCUGAUGCAGCAACGCCGCGUGAGGGACGAAGGCCUUCGGGUCGUAAACCUCUUUUAGCAGGGAAGAAGCGAAAGUGACGGUACCUGCAGAAAAAGCACCGGCUAACUACGUG
rnacentral:rRNA from 1 species